UCUGGUUGAUCCUGCCAGUAGUCAUAUGCUUGUCUCAAAGAUUAAGCCAUGCAUGUCUAAGUAUAAGCAAUUUAUACAGUGAAACUGCGAAUGGCUCAUUAAAUCAGUUAUCGUUUAUUUGAUAGUUCCUUUACUACAUGGUAUAACUGUGGUAAUUCUAGAGCUAAUACAUGCUUAAAAUCUCGACCCUUUGGAAGAGAUGUAUUUAUUAGAUAAAAAAUCAAUGUCUUCGGACUCUUUGAUGAUUCAUAAUAACUUUUCGAAUCGCAUGGCCUUGUGCUGGCGAUGGUUCAUUCAAAUUUCUGCCCUAUCAACUUUCGAUGGUAGGAUAGUGGCCUACCAUGGUUUCAACGGGUAACGGGGAAUAAGGGUUCGAUUCCGGAGAGGGAGCCUGAGAAACGGCUACCACAUCCAAGGAAGGCAGCAGGCGCGCAAAUUACCCAAUCCUAAUUCAGGGAGGUAGUGACAAUAAAUAACGAUACAGGGCCCAUUCGGGUCUUGUAAUUGGAAUGAGUACAAUGUAAAUACCUUAACGAGGAACAAUUGGAGGGCAAGUCUGGUGCCAGCAGCCGCGGUAAUUCCAGCUCCAAUAGCGUAUAUUAAAGUUGUUGCAGUUAAAAAGCUCGUAGUUGAACUUUGGGCCCGGUUGGCCGGUCCGAUUUUUUCGUGUACUGGAUUUCCAACGGGGCCUUUCCUUCUGGCUAACCUUGAGUCCUUGUGGCUCUUGGCGAACCGGGACUUUUACUUUGAAAAAAUUAGAGUGUUCAAAGCAGGCGUAUUGCUCGAAUAUAUUAGCAUGGAAUAAUAGAAUAGGACGUUUGGUUCUAUUUUGUUGGUUUCUAGGACCAUCGUAAUGAUUAAUAGGGACGGUCGGGGGCAUCAGUAUUCAAUUGUCAGAGGUGAAAUUCUUGGAUUUAUUGAAGACUAACUACUGCGAAAGCAUUUGCCAAGGACGUUUUCAUUAAUCAAGAACGAAAGUUAGGGGAUCGAAGAUGAUCAGAUACCGUCGUAGUCUUAACCAUAAACUAUGCCGACUAGGGAUCGGGUGGUGUUUUUUUAAUGACCCACUCGGCACCUUACGAGAAAUCAAAGUCUUUGGGUUCUGGG
rnacentral:rRNA from 1 species